ensembl:lncRNA
AAUAAACCAGAGUUACCCUUUGUUUUGUUGACCCAUUCAUCAACCCUGACCUCCUCCUGAUGCAGACAUUCUAUGACAUCGACUGAUUGUAUCACUGGUUCUAAUGGCAGCUGUGUUUAGCACAUAUGUCAUUCUGGGACAUGCUGAAACUCAUGCUUGAGAGCGCAAUCUCAAUCUCUGUGUGUGUGUGUGUGUUAGUCAAACAGAUUUGGUAACAAACAGCAGCAGGUGGACUUUGCCUGCUGUGAUCAGUCAGCGAUCCCUUUAUUGAAACCUGGCAGAGUGUGUUAGUUCAGUUUAGCUCUCAGGAGGAGAGGAAGAUGAAUGCCAACAAGAUGUGUUCCUUUUUUGUUAUUGGGGUGGUGCUGUGUGGAACCAGUUUGGCCACAAGGGAACAGAUCACCGGGCAGACAACAGCCAGACAGCAGGGGAGCGCUGUUAUUUUUUUCACUGCUUACCAGGGACAGCUGAGAGAUCUCUUGUUCAGCCCGAUUGUUUUUAACGAAGUGUUGGUGAACCAGGGCUCUGCCUACAACAACAUCACCGGUGUGUUCACUGCGCCGCUCGCUGGCAUCUACCAGUUUGUUUUUGUUGCCCAGCUGUGCCGCGGUCACCACAACAACAGAUGGUACUUUAUGGUCAAUGGGGUCCAAAAUCUGCUCUGCCACGCUCAGGUGGCUGAUGGUCAAACAACCCUCAACACUUGUUACUUCAUGAAGGAACUGAAGAAAGGUGACCAGGUGUGGGUGAAACAAAGCGCUGAGAGCUGCUCCUGGGCCAGCACUACCUCCAAGACAAUCACCUUCUCUGGCAUCCUGCUGGCGACUGAGAGCGUGUCCAUGCUGGGGGGGAAGUAUGGCAGCUCCUGUCCGCUGCCCAGCAGGAACCUGGUGUCCAGCUCUGCAGGCCGGACCGUCGCUCUGUCCGGUGUGGUCGUCACCCUGCAGCUCAGCCGCUUCCUCUGGGAUUAAUCAAAGCAGAGAUACCUAGCUUAGCUGUUUAUGCUUCUAUUUCAGUCUAUUGUAUUUAAGAUUUCUAAAGGUUCUAAAGUUUGUUUUCUUUUUAAAUGUAUUUGGAUUUUUAAGACUCUACAUUUAUCUGCCAUUUUAACUUUUAAUGGACAAUCAGAUUUUUCAGUCAUCCCCAAACUGCAAAAAUAUACUUAUGAUUUUAGUUAGAGUCCCUCUCCGGUCGCUGAAUAAACCCUGAAAAACCCAUCUCUAUUUAUCUAAGUUACAUACUGAGAUGGUUUGUCUGUGAAAAUGAUCAGUUUUUGCAAUAAAAUGACUUCAAUGAAACAACCGCUUCCUCUCAAAAAUGUGCACAUCUAUGAAGUCCGCCACCCCGCAUCUCGCUGCAGCUUAAGCACACCAGCUAACCUACAACUCUGUUCAGAAACCAUAAAAACUACCGUCUGCUACACAAUGGCAACUUGUAAU